rnacentral:rRNA from 1 species
UUGGAUCCAGACUUUGAUCAUGGCUCAGGAUGAACGCUAGCGACAGGCCUAACACAUGCAAGUCGAGGGGCAGCGGAGAGGUAGCAAUACCUUUGCCGGCGACCGGCGCACGGGUGAGUAACACGUAUGCAAUCCACCUGUAACAGGGGGAUAACCCGGAGAAAUCCGGACUAAUACCCCAUAAUAUGGGCUCUCCGCAUGGAGGGUUCAUUAAAGAGAGCAAUUUUGGUUACAGACGAGCAUGCGCUCCAUUAGCCAGUUGGCGGGGUAACGGCCCACCAAAGCGACGAUGGAUAGGGGUUCUGAGAGGAAGGUCCCCCACAUUGGAACUGAGACACGGUCCAAACUCCUACGGGAGGCAGCAGUGAGGAAUAUUGGUCAAUGGUCGGCAGACUGAACCAGCCAAGUCGCGUGAGGGAAGACGGCCCUACGGGUUGUAAACCUCUUUUGUCGGAGAGUAAAGUACGCUACGUGUAGUGUAUUGCAAGUAUCCGAAGAAAAAGCAUCGGCUAACUCCGUGCCAGCAGCCGCGGUAAUACGGAGGAUGCGAGCGUUAUCCGGAUUUAUUGGGUUUAAAGGGUGCGUAGGCGGCACGCCAAGUCAGCGGUGAAAUUUCCGGGCUCAACCCGGAGUGUGCCGUUGAAACUGGCGAGCUAGAGUACACAAGAGGCAGGCGGAAUGCGUGGUGUAGCGGUGAAAUGCAUAGAUAUCACGCAGAACCCCGAUUGCGAAGGCAGCCUGCUAGGGUGAAACAGACGCUGAGGCACGAAAGCGUGGGUAUCGAACAGGAUUAGAUACCCUGGUAGUCCACGCAGUAAACGAUGAAUACUAACUGUUUGUGAUACAAUGUAAGCGGUACAGCGAAAGCGUUAAGUAA